CUUUCCCUCCGUAUCCACAGGGUGAAGUGGGGAGGAAGAGAAAUAUCGUUGCCUCCACAGCUGCAGAGUUGGGGCCUCCUGUGGAGUCCUGGCUUGCAGGCAAGGAGAGUCAAGGCUGCCUCUCUGCAAGCCAAGCAGCUGCUGGGUGAGCUGACUGCCCUUCCCUUGCAGGUGUGGUGGAAGUGGAGGAGGGUGAGGUGAACGGGCAGGAGCUGUGCAUCGCAUCCCACUCCAUCGCCAGGAUCUCCUUCGCCAAGGAGCCCCACGUAGAGCAGAUUACCCGGAAGUUCAGGCUGAAUUCUGAAGGCAAACUUGAACAGACAGUCUCCAUGGCAACCACUACACAGCCAAUGACUCAGCAUCUUCACGUCACCUACAAGAAGGUGACCCCGUAAACCUAGAGUUCUGGAGCCCUCAGGAGGGCCUGGCUACUGUGUCUCAACGGUUCGGCUCCUCGGCAGACAGUCCCUGCAGCAGAAGUGGGUGUGGCCGUGAGCCUCUGCGGGCUCAAGAGUGUUGUCCAGAUGUUUCUGUACUGGCAUAGAAAAACCAAAUAAAAGGCCUUUAUUUUUAUGGCUGA
rnacentral:sRNA from 1 species